UAAGUUUCCAGCAUACCCAGGAUGUAGAGUAGAGCACAAGUGAUUUCUGCCUUACCUCUAUGGGACGGACAGCUGUUGAUGAGAAGGCACUAUAUCAUCUCACUGGGAAUACACUUCUGCAAGCUGGGAAGGACUUCUGCAUGAGAUAACUAAAGAAAUGCUGCUUUUUCCUGCCCAUAACCAAGGAAGAUAUGAAAGCAAAUAUUUCAAGGCGAAUUGGAUGCUAAUAGAGAAGAGUGCCAAAGAGAAUAGUGGUGUUUCUGAUUUCUCUAUAACUAACUGCAGAAAGUGAGAACUGCAUCCUUUUUUAACAGCUGAGUGGGAUCUUAACACAGCUGUUAACUUGACAUGACUCGUGAAUAUAAAACUUCUCCUUGGUAACUGCUGAUUCUCAUUGUGCUGACUGAAAAACCAGCCACCAUGCUGCUUGGAUGAUAAUGGGCCUCCAGGCUUUCCUUGUCUGAUGAAGCUGAUCUCUAUUCCAGGUAAGAAGAAAACGAUUGUGAAAUUGAUCCAUACUGGGAGUGGGAGGAGGAGUUCUCUAUCCGGAUAAGUAACCUUAAUACUUUCAUCCACAAUUAAAUGUUACCAGUUAAUUUUGAAAAGCACAUUAAAUGGUUGGAAACAUCUCACUACAAUGAUUUCUAAAUAUCUUAGUUUUUUUAAAUCACUCCUGGCUGAGAAUAAUUGAUUCAGCCAAAUAAUGCCCAUUGCUUUUUUCUGUAUUUUUUUGGUCCUUUAUACUCUCUUCCAAACCGAGCCUACUAAUAUCUGCGAGAAGUGAAUAACUUUGUAUUUCUGUGCUGGAACCCAGAUUUACAUUUUGGCUGCAAUAAAUAACAAUCUUAUUCAUUUGAGCUUCUCAGCCCUCUUUUCAACCAGGAGAACACUUUUGUGGAGCUUGAGACCUUGGCUGUAUGUUUUGCUUUCCAAGGGAACUUAAAGAGCCAGUUGUUUUAAUACAUAGAGCAGAACAACUGCAGCUGACAUAGUGUUGGGCAGUGUUUGUUUUCCUCCUUUUGAAAAACCUUUGAGUUAUGUGCUUUCCUGCUGGGAUGAGCAUCUCCCACAAGGCCAUCUAUGAAAUCCUUAAGGUCAAACCUGCUGUUUCAACCUUCUGUGCUGUGUGAAUGGGUAUUUCCAGGUGGAUUUAUUUUGAGAAGUCCAUAGCCCUUC